CAUAAAAUUGUGAAUGUUAUGUCAAGUUAAAAUGCUCUCUUAUUCCAAAUCUGUUGCUUACCAAAGACCAAAAACCAUGCUUUUGCUUCCGCUGAUAUUACUGGACAAACUGUUUGUACAGUCAGUGCUCUGAACCACAUUCUUAGCCUAAAAUGCUUUCUUUGCACACCCCCCCUUUCAAACCUGACAUUUUAUGUAUUGACUUUCGCUGCUUUACAGUUACCUAACUGCUGAGACAGGAAGAAAACAACAUGGACAUACAAAAGGGGAAAGAUUAUUAGAACUUGUCCCUGCCAGUGAGGAGUUACCACACCUACAAAGAAAGGAACAGGAUUAAAAUAAAGUUGAAGGGUGUGUUCCAGGAGCAAAGUGAGGAGCAGAGCUAGAAAUAAGAUGCAUGUUGCUUUGAAAAUACAAAAAUAAAGGGAAUUGAUGAUAUGUAAACAUUUCUGGCCGUUGUUUUCUGCCCCCAAUAUGUUGUCAUGCAAUAGAGAUACUUCCUAGCGGCUGUAUGAGGUAUUUGUACUGUCUAUAAUGCUUUAGAGGUCAGUGCUAGCAGUCAUGGAGUCCUAUUACACAUAAGGAAGUCAGACUUUGAUCUGUUUUCAUAAUGUGCAAGUUACAUUUUUCCACCUGUGGCUCUGACGUGUGUGUCAGAGUAAAUGGCGUUAUUGUUUGACACGGCAACAGACCCCAAUGAUAGAAAUGUAAUGUUCCAAAAUCAAAAUGAGGAAGUCAGUAAACAGUGCUGAGUUUUAAGCUAUGCCAGGGCCCAAUUAUGGUUUUCAAACUGCAUAGGAAUUGAUCGCAGAGGAGAUUCACUCAUUUUGGCGUAGAUCAGAGACUAUACUUUGACUAUGUCCAGUAUCUUUUGCAAAGGUAAAUGUCAAGGGAAGAUCAGGAAAGCACAAGUGAGCUGUUAUAGCAAUUGAGAAAGCUGCCUGUGGCCUUCUGUUCUUUAUCAGCCUGUAGGAAAGAACUUAAAACCUGCUCUUCCCAAAUCUUUAGUUUAAAGACAACAAUAUAAUCCAUAAAAUGGAACACACAAAACCAGUCUACUCUCACCGUGAAAGAGCUUUGUUGUACAUAACUAAUUAACCACACAGUUCAGCCUGGAAGUCAUUUGGACAAAGGCACCCAGGAAAAAACACAUUAAGAGACAGAAUUAUCACAUUACACUUGCCGCUGGAAAAUGGUGACUCACUUGUUUUCCACAUCCUUUUACAAACUAAAGGUCAUCAUUAAAAAAAAAAACCAAAAAAAAAACAAA